AUUGAACGCUGGCGGCAUGCCUUACACAUGCAAGUCGAACGGUAACGGGCCUUCGGGUGCCGACGAGUGGCGAACGGGUGAGUAAUGCAUCGGAACGUACCUGUCAGUGGGGGAUAACGUAGCGAAAGUUACGCGAAUACCGCAUAUUCUGUGAGCAGGAAAGCAGGGGAACGCAAGACCUUGCGCUGAUUGGGCGGCCGAUGUCAGAUUAGCUAGUUGGUGAGGUAAAGGCUCACCAAGGCGACGAUCUGUAGCGGGUCUGAGAGGAUGAUCCGCCACACUGGAACUGAGACACGGUCCAGACUCCUACGGGAGGCAGCAGUGGGGAAUUUUGGACAAUGGGGGCAACCCUGAUCCAGCCAUGCCGCGUGAGUGAAGAAGGCCUUCGGGUUGUAAAGCUCUUUCGGUCGGGAAGAAAUCGCAUGGGUUAAUACCCUGUGCGGAUGACGGUACCGGCAUAAGAAGCACCGGCUAACUACGUGCCAGCCGCCGCCGUAA
rnacentral:rRNA from 1 species